GACGAACGCUGGCGGCGUGCUUAACACAUGCAAGUCGAACGGACCUUCUGAUCUUUUGGUUGGUUGGUUAGUGGCGAACGGGUGAGUAACACGUGAGUAACCUGCCCUUCUCUUCGGGAUAACUGUCGGAAACGGUGGCUAAUACCGGAUAUUCAUAUGCUGUCGCAUGGUGGUGUGUGGAAAGAUUUUUUGGUGGGGGAUGGACUCGCGGCCUAUCAGCUUGUUGGUGAGGUAGUGGCUUACCAAGGCUUUGACGGGUAGCCGGCCUGAGAGGGCGACCGGCCACACUGGGACUGAGACACGGCCCAGACUCCUACGGGAGGCAGCAGUGGGGAAUAUUGCACAAUGGGCGCAAGCCUGAUGCAGCGACGCCGCGUGAGGGAUGAAGGCCUUCGGGUUGUAAACCUCUUUCAGCAGGGAAGAAGCGCAAGUGACGGUACCUGCAGAAGAAGCGCCGGCUAACUACGUGCCAGCAGCCGCCGUAAAAC
rnacentral:rRNA from 1 species